rnacentral:rRNA from 1 species
GAAUAUUGGACAAUGGGCGCAAGCCUGAUCCAGCCAUACCGCGUGGGUGAAGAAGGCCUUCGGGUUGUAAAGCCCUUUUCUUGGGAAAGAAAAGCAAUCGACUAAUACUCGGUUGUUCCGACGGUACCCAAAGCAUAAGCACCGCCUAACUUCGUUCCAGCCGCCGCGGUAAUCCGAAGGGUGCAAGCGUGACUCGGAAUUACUGGGCGUAAAGCGUGCUUAGGUGGUUGUUUAAGUCUGUGGUGAAAGCCCUGGGCUCAGCCUGGGAAUGGCAGUGGAUACUGGGCAACUAGAGUGUGGUAGAGGGUAGUGGAAUUCCCGGUGUAGCAGUGAAAUGCGUAGAGAUCGGGAGGAACAUCCAUAGCGAAGGCAGCUACCUGGACCAACACUGACACUGAGGCACGAAAGCGCGGGGAGCAAACAG